rnacentral:rRNA from 1 species
GAUGAACGCUGGCGGCGUGCCUAACACAUGCAAGUCGAGCGAUCUUCUUCGGAAGAGAGCGGCGGACGGGUGAGUAACGCGUGGGUAACCUGCCCUGUACACACGGAUAACAUACCGAAAGGUAUGCUAAUACGAGAUAAUAUGCUUUUAUCGCAUGGUAGAAGUAUCAAAGCUUUUGCGGUACAGGAUGGACCCGCGUCUGAUUAGCUGGUUGGUAAGGUAACGGCUUACCAAGGCGACGAUCAGUAGCCGACCUGAGAGGGUGAUCGGCCACAUUGGAACUGAGACACGGUCCAAACUCCUACGGGAGGCAGCAGUGGGGAAUAUUGCACAAUGGGCGAAAGCCUGAUGCAGCAACGCCGCGUGAGCGAUGAAGGCCUUCGGUCGUAAAGACUCUGUCCUCAAGGAAGAGUAAUGACGGUACUUGAGGAGGAAGCCCGGCUAACUACGUGCCAGCAGCCGCGGU